rnacentral:hammerhead_ribozyme from 1 species
UUACUGAUGAAGAGUCCCAAAUUAGGACGAAACAGUUGUCCAGUAC